rnacentral:rRNA from 1 species
UAAUCGGAAUUACUGGGCGUAAAGGGAGCGUAGGUGGCUCGACAAGUCAGAUGUGAAAUCCCCGGGCUCAACCUGGGAACUGCAUCUGAUACUGUUGAGCUAGAGUAUGUGAGAGGAAGGUAGAAUUCCAGGUGUAGCGGUGAAAUGCGUAGAGAUCUGGAGGAAUACCGAUGGCGAAGGCAGCCUUCUGGCAUAAUACUGACACUGAGGCUCGAAAGCGUGGGUAGCAAACAGGAUUAGAUACCCUGGUAGUCCACGCCGUAAACGAUGUCUACUAGUCGUUGGGUCCCUUGAGGACUUAGUGACGCAGCUAACGCAAUAAGUAGACCGCCUGGGGAGUACGGCCGCAAGGUUAAAACUCAAAUGAAUUGACGGGGGCCCGCACAAGCGGUGGAGCAUGUGGUUUAAUUCGAUGCAACGCGAAGAACCUUACCUGGUCUUGACAUAUCUAGAAUCCUGCAGAGAUGCGGGAGUGCCUUCGGGAAUUAGAAUACAGGUGCUGCAUGGCUGUCGUCAGCUCGUGUCGUGAGAUGUUGGGUUAAGUCCCGCAACGAGCGCAACCCUUGUCCUUAGUUACCAGCGGGUUAAGCCGGGAACUCUAAGGAUACUGCCAGUGACUAACUGGAGGAAGGCGGGGACGACGUCAAGUCAUCAUGGCCCUUACGACCAGGGCUACACACGUGCUACAAUGGUAGGUACAGAGGGCAGCUACACAGCGAUGUGAUGCGAAUCUCAAAAAGCCUAUCGUAGUCCAGAUUGGAGUCUGCAACUCGACUCCAUGAAGUAGGAAUCGCUAGUAAUCGCGGAUCAGAAUGCCGCGGUGAAUACGUU